AUGCCGCCGCCGCUGCUUCCCCUCUCCCUCUCCCCGCCUCCACCACCACCUCCUCUCCUGCCUCCUCCCCAACCAGCACAGCUAGAGGAGGUGACAGAUUGGGAGGCGGGCAAAAGGAACCAGGCGGUUCUCCUUCCAUGGUUGGGCCUCGACCUGCCACAUCUUCCUCCUCCCAGUCCGGCGAAGAGGAGUGGCGGAUCCGCUUCCUCAAGUGAGCAGGGGCGCAUGGGGAUUCGGAUCUCGUUGCGAGAGGCCGCCACCACAGAAGUAGGUCCGCGGUGCCGUCACUCUGCUCAAGCUACUGAUUCAUCCCGUGCGGCGACAGAAGGAGGUCCUGCAGCCUGCUUCCGUACUACUCCUUGCCGUGUGGGUCGAAAUCUCCAGCGGUGCUGUCGUCUGGGUGAGCCCCCCGUCACGGCUGAGACCAGCUCGCCGCCGUCGGCCAUGCCACUCUCGCCGGCGCACGGAGCACCUCCCCUCCAAGCACAGGUCCUCCCCCGCUCCCCUCUGUUCCCUCUCUUUCGUACAUGA
rnacentral:rRNA from 1 species